rnacentral:rRNA from 1 species
GCUUAACACAUGCAAGUCGAGGGGCAGCAUGGUCUUAGCUUGCUAAGGCCGAUGGCGACCGGCGCACGGGUGAGUAACACGUAUCCAACCUGCCGUCUACUCUUGGACAGCCUUCUGAAAGGAAGAUUAAUACAAGAUGGCAUCAUGAGUCCGCAUGUUCACAUGAUUAAAGGUAUUCCGGUAGACGAUGGGGAUGCGUUCCAUUAGAUAGUAGGCGGGGUAACGGCCCACCUAGUCUUCGAUGGAUAGGGGUUCUGAGAGGAAGGUCCCCCACAUUGGAACUGAGACACGGUCCAAACUCCUACGGGAGGCAGCAGUGAGGAAUAUUGGUCAAUGGGCGAGAGCCUGAACCAGCCAAGUAGCGUGAAGGAUGACUGCCCUAUGGGUUGUAAACUUCUUUUAUAAAGGAAUAAAGUCGGGUAUGGAUACCCGUUUGCAUGUACUUUAUGAAUAAGGAUCGGCUAACUCCGUGCCAGCAGCCGCGGUAAUGCGGAGGAUCCGAGCGUUAUCCGGAUUUAUUGGGUUUAAAGGGAGCGUAGAUGGAUGUUUAAGUCAGUUGUGAAAGUUUGCGGCUCAACCGUAAAAUUGCAGUUGAUACUGGAUAUCUUGAGUGCAGUUGAGGCAGGCGGAAUUCGUGGUGUAGCGGUGAAAUGCUUAGAUAUCACGAAGAACUCCGAUUGCGAAGGCAGCCUGCUAAGCUGCAACUGACAUUGAGGCUCGAAAGUGUGGGUAUCAAACAGGAUUAGAUACCCUGGUAGUCCACACGGUAAACGAUGAAUACUCGCUGUUUGCGAUAUACUGCAAGCGGCCAAGCGAAAGCGUUAAGUAUUCCACCUGGGGAGUACGCCGGCAACGGUGAAACUCAAAGGAAUUGACGGGGGCCCGCACAAGCGGAGGAACAUGUGGUUUAAUUCGAUGAUACGCGAGGAACCUUACCCGGGCUUAAAUUGCAGAUGAAUUACGGUGAAAGCCGUAAGCCGCAAGGCAUCUGUGAAGGUGCUGCAUGGUUGUCGUCAGCUCGUGCCGUGAGGUGUCGGCUUAAGUGCCAUAACGAGCGCAACCCUUGUUGUCAGUUACUAACAGGUUCCGCUGAGGACUCUGACAAGACUGCCAUCGUAAGAUGUGAGGAAGGUGGGGAUGACGUCAAAUCAGCACGGCCCUUACGUCCGGGGCUACACACGUGUUACAAUGGGGGGUACAGAGGGCCGCUACCACGCGAGUGGAUGCCAAUCCCCAAAACCUCUCUCAGUUCGGACUGGAGUCUGCAACCCGACUCCACGAAGCUGGAUUCGCUAGUAAUCGCGCAUCAGCCACGGCGCGGUGAAUACGUUCCCGGGCCUUGUACACACCGCCCGUCAAGCCAUGGGAGCCGGGGGUACCUGAAGUGCGUAACCGCGAGGAGCGCCCUAGGGUAAAACUGGUGACUGGGGCUAAGUCAUAACA